UACGUAGGGUCCAAGCGUUAUCCGGAAUUACUGGGCGUAAAGCGUGCGUAGGUGGCGUGUUAAGUGUGAUGUUAAAUCGUGUGGCUCAACCAUAUCGAUGUGUCGCAUACUGGCAUGCUAGAGGGAAGCAGAGGCAAGUGGAAUUUGUAGCGUAGCAGUGAAAUGCGUAGAUAUUACAAGGAACACCAAUGGCGAAGGCAGCUUGCUGGGCUUCUUCUGACACUGAGGUACGAAAGCGUGGGGAGCGAACAGG
rnacentral:rRNA from 1 species